UACAGAGGGUGCGAGCGUUAAUCGGAUUUACUGGGCGUAAAGCGUGUGUAGGCGGCUUUGCAAGUCGGAUGUGAAAUCCCACGGCUCAACCGUGGAAGUGCAUCCGAAACGGCAUCGCUUGAGUCUCGGAGAGGAAGGUGGAAUGCUUGGUGUAGAGGUGAAAUUCGUAGAUAUCAAGCAGAACACCUGCGGCGAAGGCGGCCUUCUGGACGAUGA
rnacentral:rRNA from 1 species